rnacentral:rRNA from 1 species
UACGAAGGGGGCUAGCGUUGCUCGGAAUUACUGGGCGUAAAGGGAGCGUAGGCGGACAUUUAAGUCAGGGGUGAAAUCCCAGAGCUCAACUCUGGAACUGCCUUUGAUACUGGAUGUCUUGAGUGUGAGAGAGGUAUGUGGAACUCCGAGUGUAGAGGUGAAAUUCGUAGAUAUUCGGAAGAACACCAGUGGCGAAGGCGACAUACUGGAUCAUUACUGACGCUGAGGCUCGAAAGCGUGGGGAGCAAACAGG